rnacentral:tRNA from 1 species
GGUUAUUGGGGUAUCGAGCACAUCACUCAUAAUGAUGGGGUCACAGGUUCGAAUCCCGUCGUAGCCACCA